CCCUUAGAUGUUCUGGGCUGCACGCGCGCUACACUGAUGCGCUCAACGAGUUUACGACCUUGCCCGGAAGGGUUGGGUAAUCUUUUUAAAACGCAUCGUGAUGGGGAUAGAUUAUUGCAAUUAUUAAUCUUUAACGAGGAAUUCCUAGUAAGCGCAAGUCAGCAGCUUGCGUUGAUUACGUCCCUGCCCUUUGUACACACCGCCCGUCGCUACUACCGAUUGAAUGGUUUAGUGAGAUCUUCGGAUUGGCGCCACUGCGGCUCAGCAAUGGGCUCGGUGGAUGCCGAAAAGUUGAUCAAACUUGAUCAUUUAGAGGAAGUAAAAGUCGUAACA
rnacentral:rRNA from 1 species